CUUCAGUCACACCCAUUGCUAACAAGUGCAUAAAAUCAAGCAAACAGCCAUGCGAUAUCCAUUGACAAACAUUAGAAGUAUGUAUGGCUGUAGAAUGGGUAGUACUGAAGAACUCAGUGCCUUUCAACAUCACCAUUUGCAGUGCCAAGCGUUGGCUGGAGUGGUGUAAAGCACACUGUGUGGAGGUAUGGGGAAACACAUACAAAACCAGCAGCUAUAAUAAGGUAUAAUAGGUAUAAUAAGCUAAAGCUUCAGUCUACACCUUUUAAUAAGGACCAAAAUAAAUUACUACUACUACUACUACUACUACUACUACUACUACUACACUGCCAUUGGACUCUGGUGCAGUGGGAAUACGUUCUCUGGAGUGAUGAAUCACACUUCACUCUCUGGCAGUCUGACUGAUUAAUCUGGUUUUGGCGAAUGCCAGGAAAACGCUACCGGCCUGUUACGCCCCUCCGCCUCAGGUGGGGGCGCUGGCCGUUUGGACACAUGCGUGUGUCUCGUUACAGGUAAUUGAGAGCACCUGUGGCGGUGCCCUUUUAAGAAGCUUGGAGUCGGCUUCUCAAAGAUGGGGGCUUUUUCUCCUCACCUCUCGACCACGGCCAGGUCUUGAUUUUUAUCUUAUGUUUUGCAGCUAUUUUUGGUAUCCCUUAUGUGUAGUUAAAUAAAGUUAUUGGUUAUUUUUGGAAAA